UAGGGAAUAUUGCGCAAUGGGGGAAACCCUGACGCAGCGACGCCGCGUGAGUGAUGAAGGCCUUAGGGUCGUAAAGCUCUGUUGAAUGGGAAGAAACAAAUGACGGUACCAUUCGAGAAAGGACCGGCUAACUUCGUGCCAGCAGCCGCGGUAAUACGAGGGGUCCUAGCGUUGUUCGGAAUCAUUGGGCGUAAAGGGUGCGUAGGUUGCUAUUCAAGUCAGUUGUGAAAUCCCCGGGCUCAACCCGGGAAGUGCUUCUGAUACUGUUUAGCUUGAGUACUGGAGAGGAUAGUAGAAUUCCAGGUGUAGUGGUGAAAUACGUAGAUAUCUGGAGGAAUACCGGUGGCGAAGGCGGCUAUCUGGCCAUGUACUGACACUGAAGCACGAAAGCGUGGGUAGCAAACAG
rnacentral:rRNA from 1 species